rnacentral:rRNA from 1 species
GACGAACGCUGGCGGCGUGCUUAACACAUGCAAGUCGAACGGAAAGGCCUCUUUCGGGGGGUACUCGAGUGGCGAACGGGUGAGUAACACGUGAGUAACCUGCCCUUGACUUUGGGAUAACUUCAGGAAACUGGGGCUAAUACCGGAUAGGAGCUCCUGCUGCAUGGUGGGGGUGGUAAAGUUUCGGCGGUUGGGGAUGGACUCGCGGCUUAUCAGCUUGUUGGUGGGGUAGUGGCUUACCAAGGCUUUGACGGGUAGCCGGCCUGAGAGGGUGACCGGCCACAUUGGGACUGGGAUACGGCCCAGACUCCUACGGGAGGCAGCAGUGGGGAAUAUUGCACAAUGGGUGGAAGCCUGAUGCAGCAACGCCGUGUGCGGGAUGACGGCCUUCGGGUUGUAAACCGCUUUCGCUCAUGACGAAGCUUUGUGUGACGGUAGUGGGUAAAGAAGCACCGGCUAACUACGUG